ensembl:lncRNA
GUACCAAAAAAUUAAAAAAAAUAAAAACCACAUGAAUGAGUAGAUGUAAAGGAACGAGUCACAAGGUUACACUAUCAUCCAUUCUCUGAAUUCCUCUGAGUCACAGACCAAAAUGACAGUGAUUUAUGACCCACUGACAAACGGAUUUUAGUAUAAAUAAGAAACCAGAUACCAGUUGAUGCGGAAAGAAUUAUGGGUAACACAAAAUAAUACUUGAGAUCAAAAUGACAGAGUAAUGAUCAGCAGCAAAAUACAGACUCUCUGGGACCUUGAAUCCAGACACACAGAAAAUAACAACUUGGAAAAGAGAAAAAGAAAAGCGUUAGAUCUCCAGGAAUUGGAAAGAAACUGAACAUUAGAAACUGCAGAGAAGCUGGACUAAUGGAGCACAAUGCAGAGGAAAGAAUGAAGCAAACGGGAGAGCUCACUCUGGCUCCUGGGGAGAGGAACCUAUCUCUACAGACACAAGCUGUCAAACUACAGAUGACGAUUCAAGCCAAGAACCAAAACCCACUGUCAUAUCUAGAGCUCGUCAAUGCAUCCUCUGUGGUGGAAUACUGUUCUCUGGUCCUGCAGGAUCCAGCAGGGUUAAUACUUCCACUCAGGAGGAAGCAGAUAUAGAAGACAGACAGUCCACCCUUAGCACACCUUAAAGACUUGUGGAGACCAGGUCUCUCAAGGGGGAAUAGCGAAGACGUACAACUGAGGGCUUCAGGACUGCUAGCCUCCACUCACCUAAACAUGGGCAAUGCCCCAGAGCCAACCUUUGGCCCUCUCCUAGGACUUACCACAUAGUGGUUGAAAUAGAGGAAACAAAGACCCCAAGAAUGCCUGGGAAAAUUCCAAACCAAGACUCAGGCACACAAGACCGCCCUGGACCCCUAUGCAUGACCUGUAAUAAUCUUCCUUCCCCUGGAGCUCACUGAAGGUUCAUGCACAUGGAUACUGUAUGCAUCUUAUACAUACAGUAAUAACAGAGUGAAUUAGGGGAGGGACACUUGCAGUAGACCCAGCAGACAGAACUCAGCACCCUGUCCAUUGUGCUGUCUAUUAUGCUCUGCAGGACCCCAAUAGGAGGCACCUUAAAGACUUUUAAACCCCUACACCCUACUACACCUCAGUGCUCACACCAUUUUCCUUUUCAUUCUGAGUAUACUUUUGCCUUAACAGCUUUUGCCAGUUUCCUUGCCAUCAUGUGCUGCAUCCUGUUGUCCAUUCAUCAUAGGAACCACCCCAGGCCACAUAACCUGUGCUAACACUGUCGCAGUGGAGUGACUCGGAUCAGAGGGUCACUAGGUAGGAUGGAGUCCCUCGCAGCCACAGCCCAAGAGCUACUGUUCUGCAUGACGUGAGUGACUCGGAGCAGCAUACAGCCUGCUCUGCACGAAGACUACAGUGGAGCACCCAGCUGCAUGACCACCAAACCAGUCAUUUUAAAAUUUUAAUUUAGAGCUAGUGAGGCGGAUGGAUUUGUUCAGGUUUUUCCUUGGUGACACUAAGGUGGGAGGGCAACCUGGAUGGUAGGUACCUUCUGGAAUAGCUGCCCCUUUUUUGAGAUCUUCAUCAGCCCUGUAAAUUACUGUACAGUUGCCAUCCUUCCCAGCCUACCCACACAGAUGCCCUGAAUUAAGCCUCUAACACUCAGCACUGAAGAAACAAAAGAGGCUCAUUCGCCAUCCAUCA